rnacentral:lncRNA from 1 species
CCAAUAGAAACUCUCUACAAAGUGUCUGCUAUUUAACUGUUUUGUGAUAACUAUGAAAGUAGUAUCUAGGCUUACAACUAGUUUAUUAGGUCAAUAAAUUUUUUUGAAUAAUUAUUCAAAUUUUUUUUGAGACAGGGUAUCAUCUGUCAUUCAAGGUUGAGGAAGUAGAACUCUUUCUCUCAACAAGCUUAUGAAUUAUGUGAACAUAUAUAAUUUAUGGCAAAACAUUCGAUUUGUCCUAAGAGACAUAACAAAGUGUUCCACGGUUUCAAAAUUCAAGUCAGCUACACUUGUUUGAGGAAGAUCUGGAAAGGCUUGAAAGGUCCCUUCAACUGA